rfam:Lupinus angustifolius cultivar Tanjil chromosome LG09, whole genome shotgun sequence.
GUGUUGGAGUUAAGGAUUGGAGGGAAUUAAAUCCAAAAGUGUUGAUUCAUUUUUGGAUUUAGUUUCUUCCAAUAUCUUACUUCCAGCUU